rnacentral:lncRNA from 1 species
GGGCCUUUCAGAUCUCAUUUGGAGUUCUGAUCACAGAGUUGCCCUGUCCCCUUUGCUCCCCUGUAGGUAUUACUUGAUCUAUGACUAUGGAGAGCGACAGGGUCUCCUCAGUGCUUACCACAAUGAAGCCUGCUUCUCCCUGACCAUUCCCCUCAACGCUAUGGACCUAGACACGAGCAACUUGUGUGAGUAUUUCAAGUAUAGCAGGAAUUUGAAGACGCUCAAAGAACCAGGUACGGGUGUGAGGGGGAAGACUGUACAGAGGAAGGUCAUGUGAGGGGGACAGUCAUAGGAGCCAAGGGACCGGAUGUGGCAGUGUGCUGAUCUUCCCCUCUGCUCUUUUCUACAGACUUGCGGAGACAGCUGCUGAAGUACACGAAGCGAGACAUUGUAGAUUGCCUCUGUGUGUUGCCCAAAACUCGGCAUGACUGCGAUACCUUUGUGGUGGACAUGUGGCUCCAGACGGUAAACACCUGCUUCCUCCCUGGGGCACGGUCGGAAAGCUGGAGACAGUAGGAAGUUAAGCAGGACCCUGAGCUCCUGUUUUCUCCCCUUUCAGGAAAAGAUGCUUUGCUUUUCUGUGAAUGGAGUGUUCAAGGAAAGUAAGUGUCUGUAGAAGGCCCUGCCCAGAUGCCCUGCUGCUCUUCUUCCCUGGGUGG